CUUGUUUAUAGUUUCUAAAAUUUUAUUUGUUUCAUUGAAAUUGAAAACAUAAGCGUUGAUUACUAUAAUUCUAGCUAUAGGUUGUGGGUAACCAUUACCACCCUAUUUAACAAACUUCUCAACUUAACCAAAAUUUACGAAUAGCAGCGGAAAGACUUUUUUUUCAAAAGUAGGCUCAGUUGUGGUCUUUAUCUUUAGCUUGUAGGUUAUACUUGGUGCAAAAAGCCUAAUUCAGGUUGGGGGGGGCACACGCCCCUCCCACAAGUCAAUAAGCACACCACCAAUAAAUGAAUUUCUUGUAGCAAAAAAAAUUUUUAUGUUUUUUAUACUGUAUACUAGUUUCACUUAUUUUAUUAAAUAUAGAAAUAUUUAUUUAUUUAUAAUUAGAGAAUUAAAUAUUUUUGAAAUUAGGGUGUGUUAAACCAUCACCACCAUAUCCACCACCAACUUUAAUAAACAUCAAUCAUUGAUGGUCUGUAAUAAAAUUAUAGCAAUUUUUUGUAUAAAAAAAAUAACCGUUAGUUGAAAAAAAACACUUUUUAUUGUAAGAAAUAUGCUUAUUUUUAGGGUAAAGGUGGUGGUUCGGCACCCCCUCUAGCCCCCAGGAAACGCUUAAUAGGUGGACGAUGUUAUAAAUUUGUAGCCCACAGUUACACCUAUCUUUUGAUAUUAAGUUAUAGGUAUUUAGACAAGAAUUGACAAAGUUAUAACAAUU